UUUGAUAUUUGAGGAUAGCUAAAAUUAAGGGGAAACUCUGUCAAAAUUUCUCCAAAUGUCUAAGAUAAAUCUAAUGCUCGAUCUAGGUGGUUUAAGGCAUUUUAGGCAUGUUUUGGGUAUGAAAUUUGAUAUGAUGUUUUAUGGGUAUUUUUAAAUGAGAGUUCAAUGUAUUACUGCCAUCAUUAUGAUGAGAAAUCCAUGCCAUUGUCAGGAUAAGCACAUCAAUACCUAAGACACCACUUGUUACACGGUGAACUAUAUUUUGGACAAAAGGUAGAGAAAGAAAUGUGUGAAUGACAUGAGGAGAACUGAAGCAUGGUCCUGACCCUGAUUUGUACAUAUGAACAUAUCGAACUUUUUGUGGGUUAUUUCAGUUAUCAGUGAGAUGUUUGUAAUAAAGUGUGAAGUUAUGUUUUGAAAACAAAUUGGGUUAUUUAAUACUUAUGUAUAAUAUGUUUGAGACCCACUUUAUGUUUAAUGUAAAUAAUGUGAAAUAA